CCCUUAGAUGUUCUGGGCCGCACGCGCGCUACACUGACGAUGGCAACGAGUUUUUCCUUCGCCGAAAGGUGUGGGUAAUCUUUUGAAACAUCGUCGUGCUGGGGAUAGAUCAUUGCAAUUUUUGAUCUUGAACGAGGAAUUCCUAGUAAGCGCGAGUCAUCAGCUCGCGUUGAUUACGUCCCUGCCCUUUGUACACACCGCCCGUCGCUACUACCGAUUGAAUGGUUUAGUGAGGACUCCUGAUUGGCGCCGCCGCCCCGGCAACGGAGCAGCGGACUGCCGAAAAGUUGUUCAAACUUGAUCAUUUAGAGGAAGUACAAGUCGUAACA
rnacentral:rRNA from 1 species